UUUUAUCCCUAUGUUCUUGACAAAUUUGAGGUUUUCUUGGAACAAUCUUGUGUUAGCAACUGUGAUCAACAAGCAUGGCAUCAACCUCAAAUUUCUUCAGACUAGCUAGCCUGUUCUGUUUAAUGCAUUUCUUGUAUUCUUCUAAACUAAAAAGUUGAAGAAAGAAGAGCUGUAUUUUCAGAUAUGACGAAAACUAGACAGCCCUGUGUUAACAUGUGGAUUAUGUCCUCUGCUUCACGCUACUUUGGACAUUUAGUUAGUUUUACUUCUGAACUCAUGGUAUACUUGCAUUGAUUUUAUAGUAUGUUUGUUUGGACAUUUAAGCUGCAAUCGGCAUCCUUCCCUGAAAUGUGAAAGGCAAUGAUGGCAUCAAGUACUUGCAUAACAGGCAUUAGUUGUUGUCCAAAUGGAGAAGAUGCCAGCAGCCAGCAUGUAUAUUCUGUUUCAUCAUAAAAGGGAUGUUGAAAUUGCUUCACUGCCAGCAGCUUAAGGAAUUGUUCUUCUUGUGGAUUCUAGAGGAAGAGUGGACAGAAUUUCACCUAACUUUUACAUGUUCUGUUGGAAAAUUGACAGCCAUGUGAUGAAAUGAAAUAGUCAUAGAAAGAGUUUUCAAAGUUAUUGAGAUGUACUAUCAGAGUUUGGACUUUGAAGAUCUCAGUAACUCUCAAAACUUCACAAAG